AUGCAGGAUUGUACUAACUGCUUUAAACCAGAGCUUUCUAGUAGAUAGAAGAUAUGUCAGGAUUACUGAAUGAGGUUUGCCUGAGCAAAGACAGCAUCUACGAAAAGGACACUCCCUGAUUGUGUGCGGUGCCUGGGGUGGGUGGAACAAGUUUUUCCUCUUGUCCAUGUUGCAAUAUGGGUGGAGAGAGCACAAAUGACAAGGCGGAAGGGACUGAGGUUCCACAGGUCAAAAGAACAUUGUUGAAGAGGCAAGGCUGCUUUUCUGUCUUCCCUACCAGUCUUUUUCUCCUACCCCUUCCAAAUCCUUACCAGUCCCCUUGAUAUACAGGGAAUGUGGAUUGUGUGGUCUUAGGAAACAGGUUUAAAUACUAAUACAUCUACAUUUCCUCCUGGCAAGAGCUGCUUCACGACUGAAGAAUGUCUUCCAUUUUAAAAGUGUUUGGGAGAGACGAGAAGGAAAAGGAAAAGGAAAAGGAAAAAAGCAAGAAAGAGGGUGAGAAGAAAGACAAGAAAAAGAAAAAGGAGAAAAAGCAUGAUGGGAAAGAUGAUGGCGGCAGCAGCAGCAGCUCAGACAGCGAUUCUGAAAAGGCUCGCAGUGGUGACAAGAAGAAAAAGAAGGAAAAGGAUUAAAUUUGGGGCAGCCAACAACUAGCAGAGGACAUGAGCCGAGUUGCCUAAGAAUGUCUUCAGGGCAUUCGGAAAGGAAGGAAGAAGUGUCUGGGUUUAAUGCAUGUAAAACAAAGUGUAUUUGUUUUGUUUUCCAUUAAAACAUAAUACUAUC